UCAAUGCUGAUUGUCCCUGGAUACAUAUGAGAUUGCACUUGGGACAGACACAAAAGAGGAUCAGCAGAAAGGCUACAAUGCCCCGGGAAGAUCAUAGCAAGAAGAGAGAGGAGAAGACUGAGGCUCUAAGCAAAUCCCUGGAAUGAGACACAGAACCGGGGCUGGAAAGCAACCCUCACAACGAAAAUCUUCUGCCUUUAAGAACAGAGAACAGUCUUGUGCUGGAAGAAGAGGAAGCCAAAAGAUAUGAGGCAGAAAAGGAACUCAGAGAGAGUGGAAGUAUGACAGAGAUUCAACAUGCUGGCUCCAAGAUGUAGGACCACAGGCAAGGACCAGAGGGAAGUCUCCAGAAGCUGAGGGUGGCCCCAGCUUUGCAGCCCUAAGGACAAAUGAGCAACUGGCCAGUGGAAAAUAAUAAAACCUU